AUUGUGUUUACCAAUACAUUUUCCCCAUUUGCUUUGAAAUAUUAUAGAUCGGACCAAAAAUUCUGAGAAUACAUAGCACGUGAUCGGUCCUGAUUUCUGAUCACAUGAUUGGAUUGGGACAUCCCUACCAGAGAAUAGGAUGACUGACUAUAGAUAAAUUACAUUUUGUGUGUAAGAAGUUUUGGUAAAUGGUUAUUUGUGAGCUGAGCUUUUAUUAGCCUUGGACAGAGCUAGGCUGACUGUGUUUCUCCUGUUUCCCCAUAUAUGUGUGAGAGCUGCUUGUAUUGAUGUCAUUCCUGUGAAAAAAGGAGACUGGCCUGGACAAAUUUAGAAGAAAAGUGGCACAUUGUUGGCUUUGCCUGCAGUGCUAAGUGGCUUGUGGAUCACAAGGAAGACAUAUCCUGUUGUAAUUGUGCCAACCUGAACACUGACGGUACCUGCUGUAGAAUGAGUCACCUGGCUAAGGAUACAGACAUUCCUCGAUGCUUCACCUUGCGUAGCCAAAAUGGACAAUCAGAGGUAUUUCAGGAGGCCCCAGCAUCAAGCAAGUAAACAGGCAGUUUGAAAUGAUCAGACAACAGUUUCUCUCGCACAGUAUGUAUUGCCCACAAUGAAUGUAUCCUACAAUGUUCUUUUAUGUUUGUUUAAUUUGCAAGAAAUAAUUACAAAGUUUAAUGGCCACAAUUUAAGUUCAAAUAUUGUUGAUUGUCUUCAUAAGUUGCUCCUGUGCUUCAUA